AGCUGCCCUGUGAUGCUUCAUCGCUCAUUUGAAAAAUACUUUUCUGCAAGAUGGGUGAAAAAUUAGAUCGAGAUAUUACUGUCACAAAAAGUGAGGCUUUUAGUCAACAAGCAAAAAUGGUUGACCACGGAGCACGACCACGACCAAGGUUGGUUCUGGAGCAGUGUUGUUACUGCUGCAUCCCUCUGAGGAUCGGGAGCCUUAUCCUCGCUUACUUGUUUCUGGUUGGCGACAUUGUGAAUAUAAUUCUUUCAAUAACGGGAUUUUACUCCCUUGUCAGUAUUUUACUGACCGUACCGGAAAAUUACAAAAGCUUUGUCUUGAAAUACACAAUUAUUGGAGGUAUAGACAUGGUUGCCAACCUAAUUGAGUUGCCAUUUGUCGUACUUCUGCUCAUUGGAUUGCAUAAGGAGAAAUCGAAGUACGUCGGAGUGUUCCUCGUAUUCCUGGUAGUAAUUACUGUACUAACGCUCGUGCAACGGAUUGUAAGCCUGUCUCUCUCCACACCCUCAGUUGCACAUAUUUUGUGGAUUUUUGUGGCCUUGGUACAUAUAGCGUUCAACGUGUAUUAUAUCGUCGUGUUAAGGAGCCAUUACCUGAACAUGGUGGAGGAUGCCAAGAAUCUACCCCCACCCUCGGCUCAGCAGGCUUAACUCCUCUCCAACUCCAGGAAGCUAGUACUUGGAACAUCUAUCGACCUAUCUAAGGAAACCGACAAAUUUGGGCCCAGUUCGAUACAGAAAAAAAAAUAACGAAAAAUCCUCUCAUCAUUAACAACUCGAAUUUAGAAUUUCUGCAACGGUUCCAGUCAAAAAUGCUGCACAUGAUUACCAAUGCUCCUUGAUACGUCAAAAAUGAUCGCCUGCAUCGUGAACUAAAAAUUAAGACUAUAAAGACAGAAGUUGCAGACUCAAUGAAAACAUACCAAAAGCGUAUUCGUAAACAUCCAAAUCAACUUGCAAGGAACCUAAUGAUGAAGAAACCUGGUACAACUUUCAAAAGGCUCAAGAGACCGAGCACCACAAGAUGUCAUGAAAUAGACACUACAUUAUUAUAUUUGGGCAAAUCACUGGAUUUUGCACCUAAGUAGUUUAUAAGUUUGACGUACGUUAGCUACCUAAUAGAAUUGACAUGAAACUAAUAACAACGGCAUUUUUUGUAUUCCGUAAAGUUUAUUGUUAACGACUACCUACUGUAUGAUAUCCACGAAGUCAGUAGGUACUUGAAUGAUAUUUUUAACCGAAUUAGAAAAAAAAGGAGGAGGUUUCUCAAUACGUUUCUUAAUUUUGUUAUAAAUUAAUACGUCACUAACUUGGUACCGCCUUCAAAGUAAUCAGAAGGUACCGGAAGGAAGUGAUCAUACGAUGUUAUUUUUAGCUUUUUAGUUUAGUGAAACAUUUUUGGGAUCUUGAAGGUAGUUGGAUUUUUUUAAUGAUAUUUUUGUUCUUUUAAUUUAAAUGAUUACUUUUACCAUUACACCAAUCAAGACAAGGUAAUUUAAUUAAUGCAGAAAACUACGAAUUUUAGACUGGACAGUGAAUCCAGUCUAAAAUUCGUAGUUUUCCGCAUUAAUUCAGCUACAGUUUGCGGUUUUCCUACAAUUCUGGCGAAUAUUUUAGGGUUUCGCGUUUUCCAACUAUAUAUAGGUAUACCUGCUAAUUUAUUUGUUUAAUAAAAUUAUAAUUUUUACAAUUCAAAAUUGGAAAUUAAUUUUUGUUUAAAAAAUAUAUGGAAAGCGAAAGCAGAAUGUAUAAUGGAGAAUAUAGACGAAAAACUACAACCAAUCAUAGCAAAAAUGAAAAUUUAAUAACAAAAAUUUUGAAAUUUUUGUAGAGAUGGAUAACCUGAAAAGAGAAAAUAAAUAAAAUAAUUUAAUGAAGAAGCUUUGGGAGUGAAAAAUAUUAUAAAGCUCGUCAAUUGAAAGUAAUUUCAAGUCAAUUGAAUGUAAAUUCCAUUUAUAUUUAAAUGUCAUUUACAUAUCUGUAAACGACAUUUAAAUAUAUUACGAUCGAUCAACAUUUCUAAUUACUAAUUAUUUAAUUACAAUUAACGGACGACUGAUUUACAAACAAAUACCAGACCACGCAUAACUUUUUACCAAGUGGUCCGAUUUUGAUAAUUCGUUUUUUAUUGUAAAGGGUAUUUAUACCCUAGGGUAGGAACCUUCCCUUACUGCACCGUCAAUGGGAUCACAGCUUCCAUUAUAUACAACAUUCAUUAGAUGUUCGGCGCUUUCAUAGUUGAAUGAUCUUCAGUAACGUUACUUAGUUGCUAUAAUAGUUAAUAAUUAUCCUUGUACGGAACCCGUGGUGCGCGAAUCUGAUUCGUACUUUUCGGUAAUUAAUAGUAUAUAUUAUCAUACAUGUACGAGUAUUCUGUACUAUUAUUAUUAGUGGUUAGUGUUAGUUAGUGGCUCAUCUCAUUUGAUGCUUCAUCGCUUAUUGACAUUUGAACAUUACUUUUGUGCAAAAUAGCUGACAAUAGCUGACAAAUUAGAGAAAGAUAUUACUGUCACAAAAAGAAUGGCUUCUAAUCAUCAAGUAUUAACGACCCAGUCAAGACCAAGAUCAAGUUCGGAUCAGGAUACCUGUUGCUGCUGUAUUCCAUUGAGGACUGGAUGUCUCAUCCUCGCGUACAUGUAUCUGGUCAAAAACAUUGUGAAAGUAUUUGUUUUGAUUCCAUUAGCUGUAAAUAUAGUUCAAGAAGUAAUUGCGUCACUGGACAACCAUGAUAUUCACGAAGCUACGUCAUAUGAUAACAAAGAUUUAUUUUAUAAAAACGAUGAUACUCACGAAGUCGUAAUUGGGUCAUAUAUUUGUCUUGGACUAUUCUCAGUUUUCUGCAUAAUGGAGUCGACAUUUAAUGUACUUCUUCUCAUCGGACUUCAUAAGGAAAUAUCAAAAUACGUAAGAGUGUUCUUCAUAUAUCAGGCAGUAAUCAUUGUCCUGAUGACAAUAAUUGUUAUAGUAAUCCUGGUUGUAAUGUUCGCACCAAUCGAAGCUAUCAUUGGGGUGGCAAUUAACGACAUAAUACAAAUAUCUUUCGAAGUAUAUUAUAUCUUCGUAUUCAGGAGACAUUACCUAAACAUGGAGGAGAAUAAACAGAACCUGAUGGUUGGUUGGCAGGGAUAACAUCACCCCCCAACUUUAAGAUGCCUAAUACCUACGCACGUGCACAUCUACGACUGGUCUGCGAGAAAAAUAAUAUAUUUUUUUUCUAUUAUUAUCUUUUAAAAGUAAUUUGUUUUUGUUAACUAUUGUAUUGUGUAUGAUUUCUAGUUUGUACUCGUAUAUUCUUAAUAAAAAAAAUUCAACCGCAUUCAAAAACAUAAAACGUACCGACUAAACUAAAAAGCGUAAAAUAAUAUCGAAUUAUGUUCUACCUACUGAUCAGUUUGAAGGCGGUGCUAACCCGGUGAUGUACUAAUUCAAGCCAUGACAGAAUAUCAUAAAGAUAAAGGUUUUUAGAUUGUGUUCUUUCAUGUAGCUCUUGAAACGGCUUAAAUUAAUACGAAUUUUGAAAGUUCCCCUCGAUUUCUUCAGGAUCCCAUCAUCAGAUCCUGACAUGAUAAAAUGUUCAAAUCGGUCCAGGCGUCUUCGAGUAAUCAGGUAACAUACAUACAAAAAAAACAUACACUCGAAUUGAGAACCUCCUCCUUUUUAUGAAGUCGGUUAACAAUAAGAUGCUUUUUUUAAAAUUUGUAUUGAAUUGUCAUGUAUUUAUUUUUUUAUUAUAUCAACAUCUGUUACGUAGCGUUGCUUCAGUUUAGUCGAUAAGCGGCAUAUUUCUUCCAUUCUACUUAUCUUAAUAUAGUAGUUUUAAGCGAAAACUAUUUAAUAAAAGAUCAUCAGCU